rnacentral:hammerhead_ribozyme from 1 species
AUCUCACUGACGAGUCCCAGAUGGGAUCAAACGCGCGUCUUGAAAU